CACUCAUUUCAUUUAUUUCACACUAACCUACUAUAUUCAUUUCUAGCCUAAACAGUCCACACCUCCCAGUUUUCAAGUAACAGAAGCAAGCUAAAGCAUGAAAUGUAGAGACAACCUGGGAGUGAAAAAAAAACAGGAGAUAAAGAAGAAGAGAACAGCUAGAAUGAAUGAGGAAGAAUGGGAGAAGAGAGUAUUUACAUCCGCUGAGACAGAAGCUCUCAUGAGCCCAUCUGCAGAAUGGAGAGUACAACAUCUUUGGAAAAUAUAUAAAACACAGAAAAACUAAAAAAUACUAAGUUUAGUGACAGAGAUGAAUAUAUAGGUCAGCCCUUCCAAAUUAGUGUUUGAAUACUGAAUUGUUUUAUUCUCAAAUGAAGUGUAUUAAACAUUUUUGUUAAAAUUGUA